ensembl:lncRNA
GGGAGCCGUACGUACAUUCGUGUACCUGCUCUGCUACAAGACUUUUUUCACGUAGCGGUGUUUUCCAGCUAUUUUUCUAUGUCGGGACAGGCACGUGCGCCUCGUUCUGUUACCCCUACAGCGUACUCCGUACCUGUCACUCUCCUGCCCUCCGCUGUCCAUCGUCCACCUUCUUUCCUCUGCGUGCGGGCAGCGGACCUCUGCCCACCCUCUGGGGUUCCUUGCCUUCCGGCUUCCAUCCGGAUCAGCUGAUGAAAGGCACUGACAGGGAUCAGAGGACAAGUGGUGAGAGAAGUCACAGUGUUCACUGUCCCCUCCUGGCCCUUGCUCUGGCCGUAGGAGCCGCUGUGCUCCUCUGUGGCCGCUGCUCCUGUUGGCUGGCCUCCCCUCCCCAGCCCGCUCUGGCUGGGCUCCAGUAACCCCCUUCUUUCUCUUUGCUUUUCAGCUCCCAGGCAGAGAUAGCUUCCUGUUGUUCCCACUUCCUGGAUGCUUCCCUAACCCUGGGUGGCUCCUCUCAUCCUGCUCACACAGCUGCAAAAAAUCCUGUCAUUUCUUCUUUGGUUCACUCCUCUGUGUGCUGUUUCCUGCAAGACCUCAGCUGGUGUAGACAUCAUUGUGUUCCUGCACCCUGAUGUAUUUGGUUCCCUCUUGAUGGACGUUUGAGUUGUUUCUAUAUUUCAUUCUUAUAAUACAUGUUGCUAAUAAACACCCAUAUACAUAUCUUUAAAAAUAUUUAUUGGGGACUUCCCGUUGUGGCUCAGCGGUAACAAACCCCACUGGUAUCCGUGAGGAUGCAGGUUCGUACCCUGGCCUUGCUCAGUGGGUUAAGGAUCCGGCAUUGAUUGCCAUGAGCUGUGGUGUAGGUUGCAGAUGUAGCUCAGAUCCCAUGUUGCUGUGGCUGUGGCGUAGGCUGGCCGCAGCUCCGGUUUGACCCCUAGCCUGGGAACUUCCACAUGCCCUAAACACACACACACACAUAUUUUGGAGUGUGAUUUUAGGGCAAAAGUCAUAGCAAUAGAAAUGCUGAAUCAAGGUACAUGAAUGUUGUAAAUUUCGGUAGAUACAGGUUCCCCGUGCCAUCUGAAAACAGAGCCAUUCCCAUGAAACCUUUCCUAAGCCAGAGUGGUGGAACGCGACGAAGCAGUUACCAGCAGUUUACGUGGAAAACUUUCUGAGCGUUCCCAGGCCCCCAAAAUAACCUAGCAAAUCAUAGAAAAUAACACUUAAAACCUAAAGUAGCAAAGGUAAGAGUAGGCAUGAUAUGAUGAAUACGCAGGAAGAAUGCAGGUACAGUAUUCGCACACCGGAAUUGGGAAGACAGCAAGGGCACUGGCUAAGUGGUGGUGGUGGUCGUGUGUGAGCCUGAGUCGCCAGGGGUUGGGGUGGUGAGAGGUAGAGGAGGCUAGGAUGUAGGAGAGAGCGUCAUUUUUAUUUUUUAAUUUAUUUUUAUUUUUUUUGCCAUUUCUAGGGCCACACCUGCAGCAUAUGGAGGGUCCCAGGCUCGGGGUCGAAUCGGAGCUGUAGCCGCCGGCCUAUGCCACAGCCAUAGCAAUGCAGGAUCCAAGCCGCAGCGGAUCUUUAACCCACUGAGCGAGGCCAAGGAUACUAGCCAGAUUUGUUAACUGCUGAGCCACCAUGGGAACUCCGAGAGGGUCAUUUUUUAAAACAUUUUUUUCCUUUUUACAGCCACACAUGUGGCAUAUAGAAGUUCCCAGGCUAGGGGGGUGAAUCGGAGCUGCAGCUGCAAGCCUACACUGCAGCCACAGCAACACCAGAUCCGGGCUGGAUCUGUGACCUACACAGCUUGCAGCAACCCUGGAUCCUUAACCCACUGAGAAAGGCCAAGGAUUGAACCUGCAUCCUCAGAGACACCAUGUCAGGUUCUUAACCCGCUGAGCCACAAUGGGAACGCCUUAAACUUUUUUUUUAAAUUAAACUGUAGUCAUUACAGGGAAGAGGGUUAUUUAUCAACAUCCAUCCUCGUCUGAUUCCAUCAGAUCAGGCAGGGCGCUAAUAUUAGUCUGCACUCUGUGUCUGUCUGCCUUGACGUCAAAGAUUGCGGUUCUUUUUCUGACAGGCUCGAAAAGGAUGGAAGGCUUGACUGCUUAGCCUACCAUCUUUUUUUGGGUUUGUUUUGUUCUUCUUUUUCUUUUUGUUUUUUGGCCGUGCCUGCAACAUGUGAAAGUUUCCAGGCUAGGGGUCUAAUCGGAGCUGUAGCUGCUGGCCUACACCACAGCCACAGCAAUGUGGGAUCCAAGCCUCGUCUAGAACGUACACCACAGCUCAUGACAACACCAGAUCCUUAACCCACUGAGCGAGGCCAGGGAUUGAACCUACAGCUUCAUGGUUCCUGGUCAGAUUCAUUAACUACUGCGCCAGGACGGGAACUCCCCGCAUCUUCUUAAUCCAUUCAUUCUCACAGUGUUUUUCAACAGAUUCAGUCAUGUACUCAGAAAAAAUAUCACUUGAUUAUUCCAACCGCAUGGAUGUGAAAAAAGCAUAAUAGGCAGUGUGUUUGUAUCAGUGCCUCUCAGUACCCUUGGGUUUUCUGAAUGGUACACUAGUAGAGGUCUUAGGAUAGCAUGACCGGUGGUGUUGACAGCAGGCCUGGCCUGGCAAACCUGGCCUUUGAUAUCUUGUACCCUUAGCUUGCUUGUCUUCUAUCAAGAUAAGUGUUUUGCUCAGCAGUUUUUCCCCAAUAAAUUGCAAUUUUUAUCAUAGUUAAACACUUGCGUAUAUGAAUAGCCACCCUCUGUAACUACUUUCUUCAGUUCUUCAGGGAACGUUUCAGCAGCUUCAGCAUCAGUCGGGCACUCUGUCCAGUAACCUUUAAGCUGUCAAGCUGCCCUCCCCUCAAAAACUGAUCAAACUACCCAUGACUGCCUCUACAUUUUCAUCAUUCAGUGCUUUCUGUGUCAGCUUUUAAAGGACUGAUUUGGGCUUACGUGUGUAAGAUACCUUAAUAGAAACACCAUGCUGUGUACACCCAUCAAUCUACUCAAGAAGUAGACUUUCCAGUGUCUCUGUUACUAGAUGCCAGUGGAAAGAGAUCACUUUGCUACCAGCAGAGCCAGCAGUGCUUUGGCAGCUGCCCGUAUUCUUUCUCUCUGAGUGUGCAUAGUGUGCGUGCACUGUUGUAAAUAGUGGUGGGUGCAGGCAGCUUCAGCCCAUCUCCGUCUUGUUCGCCAAGACCUAAGUGCUUCAUUACCUCCAUCCUUGCACCGAGCGUGGUCACCCUCUUCCAAGUUCUCUUGGGCUUUUGUGAUACCUGGGGGUACCUCUGCUAACAGAUGCACAGAAUAAAUCAAGAUUAAGUGCAGAUGCUCACAGGCAGAAUUCAGAGCCCUGGGGGCUUGGUGCUGAGAGGGUGAGUGUGGUUGCUGGGAAGGGAGGCUGGCGGUGCUCCUCUCACUGCUCUGGGUGCCCACUGCCAGUAACGGCUGGCGCAGAAGAGAUGCUAAAGGCUCGUUUCGUCUCUUUCCAUCAAAGUGAAAAUCUUCUUUGGAUUUCUUCCACUUAGUGAAAACAGGUUCUCGCCUAGGUCUUUCAUAGAAGCAAAGGGGCGGAAAGCGAACGUUCAAAAAGCAGGGCGUACCGUACUUCCAAAUUGCUCCCCAAAGUCUGCCAAUUUCUGUUUCUACAAUGUGCGAUUUGUUUGCGAGGUCACAUUGAAAGGUCGUUGAUUUAAAGUUUCUGAUUUGACGUUUCUGUGCGUUUCCGAUGUGCAGCAAAGGGAUUCUUUAGCCAUAGAUAUUUUUUGCGUUUUCUUUUCCAUUGGGGUUUGUUAAAGGGCGUUGACUGCAGUUCUGCGCAGUAGGACUUUGUUGUUGAUCUGUUUUAUACACAACAGUUCACAGGUGCUUGUCCCAACCCCCCAGUCCUCCCCCCCCAACGCCCCGUCUUUCCCCCUGGGUAACCAGAGGUGGUUUUUUUUUUUUAAUAACUCAAAUGAAUUUAUCAUAUCUGUAGUUAUAUAAUGAUCAUAACCAUUCAGUUUCACAGGAUUUCCAUCCCACAGCCCAAGCACUUCCCCCCAGCCCCCACCGUAGGUUUGUUUUCUCUGUUUUGUGAAUGUUUCUGCUUUGUGCAUAAGUUCAUUUGCGUCUGUCGUAUCUUAGAUUCCACAGAGGUGAUAUUAUUCGGUGUUUUAUACGCCUUCACCUCACGCAACGUGAUCGUCUCCAGGUCCGUCCGGGUUGCCACAGACGACUUUCUUUCGCGUUUUAUGGCUGCGUGUAUCUGUGUGUGUGUGUGUGUGUGUGUGUGUGUGUGUGUGUGUGUGUGUGUUUGACGCUGUCUUUAUGCCUUCACCUGUCAUUGGACGUUCAGGUCGCUUCCGUGUCUUUGAACACUAGGUGCACGUCUCUGUCGGAAUCAGAGGUUUCAUCUUCUCCGGCGCGUACCCAGGCGUGAGACGGCUGGAUCAUGCAGCAACUUUAUUUGGAGUGUUUUGAGGAACCUCCAUGCUGUGCUCCAGAGGGGCUGCGCAGUUGACAUUCCCACCAGCAGCGUGGGGGGCUCCCUUUCCUCCGCACCCUCGCCAGCGUUCAUGAUUUGUCAGUUUUUAAAUGAUGGCCAUUCUGGCGGGUGUGAGGCGAUGCCUCGUUGUUGUCGGAAUUUGCAUUUCAUCACCAUCAGCAAUGAUGAGCAUCUUUUCAAGUGCCUGUGCCGACUGUAGGUCUUCUUUGGAGAAAGGUCUGUUUAGUUCUUCUGCCCGUUUUUGACGGGCUGGUUUAUUUGUUUCGCUAUUGAGAUGUCUGAGCUGUUUGCGUGUUUUGAAAAUUAAUCCCUUAUCAGUCACAUUGUUUGCAAAUAUUUUCUCUCAUUUAGUAAGUUGUCUUAUUUUAUUUAUGGUUUCGUUGGCUGUGCAAAAGCUUGUAAGUUUGAUUAGGUCCCAUUUGUUUAUGUGUGAUUUUUUAAAUAUUCAAAAUUAUAGAGGCAAUACCUGUGACUUAGAGCAAAUUUAAUCCAAAAUGUAUAAAGGGAAAAGUGCUUCUCAUUGUCCUAUCUUAUUUCUUAGAGGUAACCAUAUCAGCAGCAGUUAGCUGUGUCUUUAAAAAAAAAAAACAAAACUUACAUGCUUAUCGUGUAUUCAAAAAUGUAGAGGAAGUAAAUUCAUUUAUGUGUGUGUGUGUACGUGUAUAUAUCCAUAUCUGUAUCUGUUAUUGAGAGAUCUCAUUUUUAGACUCUAUUCUGUUGCAGUCGUCUGUUUGUCUUUUCCUGUGCCAGUACCCAUCCAGCUUAAUAAUUAUAGCUUGGAAUUGGUUUUAAUAUGAUAAAGCAAAUUCUCGCUUCAUUAUUUUUCAUCAAAAAAGUUCUUCACUCAUUCUGGGUAUGAACUCUUCAGAUUAAGAUUAGAUCCAAGUUCAAAAAAAAUCAUGGAUUUUGACGGGAGUGAGGCUACGUUUAUAGAGAACUGACAUUUCAGGAGAACUGACGUGUUUCCAAUAUUGAAUCUUCUCACUUAGGAGCUUGUUAUGUCUGUUUAUUUAUUUGGAUCUUUUAUGUCCUUUGGUGAAAAUCUUGUUCAUUUCUUCCAAAGUUUAUUUUUAGGUAUUUUAUAGAUUUCGUUGUCAUCAUGAAUGGAAUUUUUUCCCCCUUAGAUUUUCUAAUUGAUUAUCGCUGGUAUAGGUUUUAAAAAGUUAUUGAUUUUUGUAAGCAAAUCAUAUAAUCACCUACUUUAUUGAAUUUUCUAUUAGUUCUAAUGGUUUUUCAGUUGAUUCUCCUGGCUUUUCCAGGUGGACAGUUAUAUAAUCUGCAAGUGAUAAAUUUUUCUCACUUCACUUACAAUAUUUAUACAUAACUUCUCAAAUGUUAUUUCAUGACUAAGAUACCUGAGUGGGGUGGGGAAGGGUGAUCUUAAGCAGUCUUCUUGGGGAGUUCCCGUUGUGGCUCAGCGAUAAACAAACCUGGGUAGUGUUCAUGAGGUUGUGGGUCUGUCCCUGGCCUCGCUCAGAGGUUGGGAGUCCCGUGUUGCUGUGAGCUGUGGUGUAGGUCGCAGACGUGGCUCGAAUCUGACGUUGCUGUGGCUCUGGAGGGGCCAGCAGCUGUAGCUCUGAUUCCCUGGCCUAGGAACCUUCUUAUGCUGCUGAGGGUACAGCCUUAAAAAGACAAAAAAAAAAAAAAA